GGUUCCUACCUGGUAGCUGCUGAGGUCGUGGUUGUGGCGCUCCUCGAUGUCGCUGAGCUGCCGCUCCAGGGACUCCUUGGUGCCGCGCACCGACUCUAGCUCGAUGCUCUUGGACUGCAGCUGGCGCCGGUACUCGGCGAUCUCUUCCUUGGCGGAGCGGAUGGCCUCCUUGUUCUGCUCGGCCGCCUCGGUGAGCUUGGCGUAGCGGCAUUUGAACCACUCUUCGGCCUGGUGCAUAUUCUGGUCUGAGUGGCUUUCGAGCUGGGAGCGGAUUUCCUUCAGCGCCGUCGAGAUGUCUGUCUUCAGGUAGUCUUUGCGCUCCACCGUGAUGUGCGAUGCCUGGAUCUGGGCCAGAAGGUCGGCCACCUCCUCCUCGUGGUUGCUCCGCAGGAAGGCCACCUCAUCCUGCAGCGACUGCACCUUCUUGUCCAGCUCCACCUUGACCAGCGACGCCUCCUCGAUGUCUUUGCGCAGCGCGCGGAUGGCCGCCUCAGUGUCGUCGCGCAACCGCGCCUCCUCCUCAAAGCGCUCCUUGAGCCGGUGGAUGUCUUCCUCCAGGUGGUCCGAGUCCAGCUGCACCUGAGCCUUCUCGUGGUUCACCAUCUCCAGGGUGGCGCGCAGCUCGCGGAUCUCCUGGUCGUACGCGUCGCCCAGCUGGGCGUGCGAGGCCUGCUUCUGCCGCAGCGCCUGGAUCUCCGCCUCAAUCUCCUUAUUCUGCUGCUCCAGGUAGUGCACCUUCUCUAUGUAGCCGGCAAAGCGGUCGUUCAGCCCCUGCAGCUGCUCCUUCUCGUUGGAGCGGGACAGCUUGUAGUCGCCGCCGGGUCCGGAGCCGCCGUUGAGCAGGGACGAGGACUGGCUGAAGUCAAGGCUGCUCUCGGCGGAGCUGAGCAUGGCCGAGCUGUAAGCGAGGCGCGGGGCGAGCAUGCUGCGCUUAUAGGAGGAGGACACGGUGCUGGGCGAGCCGCGGGACCACGACUGCGAGCGGAAGCCACUGGACGGGGAGCCGCUGACGCGGCUGAAGCUCGAGCGGGUCUCGGUUACCCGCCGGUAGGCGGACGGGUUGCCCAGCGAGUCCAACGUGUAGCUCAUCUUGGAGGCCUUGGGGCGUGUGGCUGUCACAGCGUUCUGCCGGCCUCGCCGCAGCCCAUUUAUAGCCGCGGCGCUGGUCCCGGGCCAGGGCCCCGCCCCGUGGAGGCGGCGGCCGAGGAGGCGGGGACUGCGGGCACCGGUCGGGGAGGAGGGGAGGGGGGCGGCUGAACGGUGAUUCAGCGCCCGCUCCACGUGGGCCCAGGCCGCAUGGGAACCUGGACUUUUCUGCCCUGGGCCCAGCCCCUCCCCCAGGUCCCCUUUCAGUCCCAGGCUACUUGUAGCCGGGCAUUCGCCUUCUUUCCAUUUCUCACCUCCCGAUUGCGUUUCGCACCCUUGGUGCGAAUAUCGCCAGCGCCCUUUCUUUGUCACUGUCCCGCCGUUCAGGCAGCGCUUCCCCGACCCCGUGGUCCCCUUGUUCUUUAGCCUUCUACCCUCUUAUCCUCAAGGCUUUCUCUUAUUUUGCCCUUUCCCUGAUACUUUUUUCUUUACCCAUCUUCUGUGCUUAAUUUCAUCCCCUUCUUUUUUGGCCCCUCUUCUCCUUCCUACUCUGGCCUUUAGUCCAGUUCACCCUGCCCUUCUCUCAGCCCCUUCCUCGGAGAUCCUUUUCUUCCAAUCUUUCCUUCUCCCCGUCUCCUCCCUCCUUCCCCUUGCAUUCCCUCUUUUCCCCUCCCCCACCCUCAUCUUUUCUUGCCUCCCUCCCCUUCCCCCACCCCUUGUCUUAAAGCAGCUGGAGAUGAGCGCCGAGGAGCUGGGUCUAGAAGACAAAACAAAACAAAAAAAAAGACUUUGCGGAACGGUCUGCCUGAAGGCUUCGGGAAGGGGACAAAGAGAACAGGCCGGGGUAGUUAUUUGUAUAAAAAGUGGGAUAUGGCGUUUUUAACGUUUGGGGGACGUCCGCAGCUUCCGCAGGGGCAGAAGGUAAGGCGCUUGUGCUCGCUAUGGCGCCGGCAGCACCAAGGACAGCGCCCAGGUCGGCGAGUGGGAGGUGCAGCCACCCGGGGGGCUUGUCACCCAGCCUGGCCUGUCAGGUUGGCAGGGGGCAGGGGGUUCCCUUCCCCCUCUUCUCUCCGAGUAAAUACAAUUUAAACCUGCCUGUAGUGACUAUCUUUGCAGGAGCGAAGCUGGAAUCACAGGCUAAGACUUCCCUGCAAUGCAGGGUUGGCACAAUGGACAGAUCGCAGAUUUUGAAAACAACCAAAAUUCAUUAAAGUCAGUUAACAGAAAUAUAUACUUGUAGCCCAGUUUGAGUUUUCUAACAUAUGGUGGUAUAGGAAAUGAAGAGAUACAGGGCCUGAAAUGUGAAGGUCAAAUACUCCUUGGAAAGGAGAAUUUGAAAUCUGUUGGGAUGAAAAGUCCAGGGAAAUAUAGUUUUUCUUAAGUUUGGACACAGACAAUUGCCUUGUCAUCUUUCGGUUCAGUAUUCCCUAUGUGUAACUGCAAUGAUUGAAAAGGCAUCUGAAUUAACUUUAAAUUGAUUUAAAAGUUGCGGAACAGAGUCACCACAACCUUGAAUAAAAUCAGAUGUUUUCCCUUCAUUUAAAAUGUAAUAUAUUUUUCGCUUUAGAUUUUAAUGAUUGAUUUGGAAUAGAUUUUCUAUAUCAUUAAACAUGUUUAUGCAAACAAGAACUCUACACAGACUUCUUGCUGUCUGGUGUACUCCUGUUAAAAUGUCCCUUUAUUUUGGGUAGUGCUUUGGGGGUAAUUCAGGUUAAAAAAGUUCAGAAUACUACAAGAUAAAGUGAAGAAGAGAUUGCAGAACUAACAACAGCGCUGGGGCCACAGGUACAAGUGACUGAAUGUGCAACGCUUGCUAUGGGUGAGAAGAAACUACUGCUUAUAAAAAGUAGGGACUCCAGACCGAAAUAGCUUCUUUUCACAGCAUGUUUCCUUAAGUCCCUGUUUUAUUAAAAGACAGGAUCAUAUUCAUCAGUAAGUAAUCAGGAAAGGGGUGGGUUUCUAGAGGUUUUAUUUUUUAUUUUUAUCAGCUCCCUUGGCCCAUCUGUAUUAAAAUAGAAAUAAUGUUUUAAACAGGAGGUGCUAAUUUUGGGAGUUACUUUGGUUUAUUAAUAUGAAACUGCAGUAUCGCAGGCCAUGUAGGAGAAGGAUGUUCUAGUUUGCUGAGAGACCUUAGGCAAGCAGAGCCCAUCCAUGUCUUGAGUUGUUGAGAGAGACAGAUGAUGGAAUGAGGGGACUGACUUGUGAAUACUGUAAAAACAGGAUUUUCUGGUUUUAUGUAGAUAAAUAAAGGCAAGGAGAAAGAAAAUUCCCUGCCUUCUGUAAAGUAUUGCGGAUGUCAGGCUGGACUCAGCAGGAUACCAUCUAGAUAAGGCCAAAUGCUAAUUAUGCAGUAAUUUUGCCUUUGUUGCUUAUUACUUUCUGCUUUUAUUGAAAUAUAUAAAAAUCCUUGGCAAUUUCAUGGUGCACAUUCACUGCAAACUCUGCAAUGAGAGUACAUGGUUAACCGGCAGCCUUCUGCUGUUAAUUUUCUUUAGGGCUUUGGAAACGAGAUGACUCUGCAGAGAGACAUUUACAAGGAAACACAUGUCUAACUUCACAAUUACCCAGUUUUGCCUUGUAUCUGAAGUAGCUGAGAAAUUGUUCAGCUUCCAGCUGGUUACAGAAGGAGGAAAGUGUUGCGUACAAACAAAAUAAGUCAGUUACUCAGGCUACAUCUAGUGCCUAUAACUUAAAAUUGUAACUUCAAUGUCACAUGAUAUAUUGUUCAAUCUGGGCACUACAGGAUAAUGCAAAGAAUUAAAACAGUUGUUUUAUUAAGAAAAAACAGUUCCCAUGGCUUAAAAAAUGAUGGAUCCAGUUUCACAUUUAGCAAAAUGUUUUCUUUUAUAUUAAACUCUUCCACUUUAACUACUCUUCCUAAAGGUGAUUUGAAGGUUAUACCCAUCAGUAAAUUUAGUAUGAAAACUUUUUUUAAAAAGCUAUAAAAGAUGUUUUUCCCUUUUUGUCUCAUAGUUUUGAAGAAUAUUUACCAUCUUAAUAGUUUUCACAGAAAGAAAUGCUUUUGCAUUUUUUUAAACCCUAAGAACACUAAGGCUAUGAAAUCUUCUCAAAAUAUUAAAAAGAGAGAAAACAAUCAUGGCAACUCACCCGGAUUAACCACACUGCAUUCAUGGAAUUAAGUUUGACUACGAUACUUUUGUAAUUUAUUCUAAAUAGAAAAGUUUCUCAUAUGAUUUAGAUGUAAGACAUUUUAAAUGAAAUUAUCUCUGAAUUGUUGUUUCAUAAGCUACAGUCUGUUUUGAAUCACUUUAUAGAGAAAUACAAGGCAUGCUCCAAUCUAUAUGUUCCUUCAGUAGGGAAAGUGAAAAUGUUAACUUUGCAGCUAAGAGAUGAUAGCCACUGUCAGGUUUUGUAGGGUGUCAUCUAAUACUGGGAAAAUAUCAUUUGCAAAGGUGGUAUAUUUACUGGGUCAUAAAAUAAAGAUAAAAAAUAAGGAGUUAGGCAUUUUCUCCCAUCUUUCCCUAUUUCCUUACAUUUCUUCUUUUAAAUAGCAUUUUUGGAUAUAAAAAAAUGCAAGGAGGAUGGGAUGUAGGAACUGGAUAGCAAGAAAGAUACUCCAGAUGGACAACGUCACUUUCAAAUUGGUAGGCUGAAUCCAUCCAAGAUGAGAUGAUCUGUACUUUCUUUCAACCUAUUGUGUCUUGAACUUAAUCCGUUUGCCUGGGAUCUGGUUCUAGAACUCAUAAUAAUUAUUUAUAACCUGUCCUCUGCUAAUUGUUUAAGGGGUUGUUGAUGUAGGAAGCUAGGGACUUAGUCUGCCGAAGCAGGAACACAAGAAAAAGGAAGCUAUAUUACAUAUUUCUACUUGAUCCUCAGGAUGUCAAACUUUAAAAGCAGUGUUGACUUUUGAUUUUGUUGUUGUCAAGAGUUGAAAGCAAAAUAAAAAUAUUCUCAGGGGAGAAAGACUGUUUCUUGUCAGGGAAAUUGGGAUGUAUAUGUAUGUCCCUAUUGUCUUUGAUCAAAACAAAUCCAUCUAGACCACAGUGUUCCUUUUCUGUCAUUAGGCCACUGAAAUGGUGUUUGUUUCCCUUGCCAAAUAUUUUAUUCUUUGAAUAUUGCCUUCUAUUUGUCAGUUACUGUUAUGAUGAAGUUAAUUGAAGUAUUUACAAAACUUAAAACAUUUAAUCUUUAUUAUAUUCCAAAUGUUAAAUUAAUCAGUUUUAAAAUUCUAUAUCUGGAAAUUUCAUGUGUGUGGUGGGGGAAAAUUUAGCUUUUGGCUUUAACAUAGCUUGCUGAUUUUUUUGCUGUGUAAUGCUUUCACCUCUCCACUGUGAAUCCUUUCUGUGAAAGCCAGGGGAGAAAGAUUUAGAAUUUUAAAAAAGUACUUAAUAGAGCCUUGGUAAAAGUGACUCUAAAAAUAAAGUUCAGUAGAUGCAUAAUAAAAGAGUACUCCUGUAUUAAUUUUCAGCAUGUUUUUAACUGAACCCAUUAGCUUUACCUAUAAAGCAGCAACAGAUGUUGAUGAUAUGCACUUGAAUUUUGAAAACCCUGCCUUGCACGUAACUGCACCAGUGCAGCUAUGAAAUAUUUAUGACAUAUUUUAUCCCAAGCUUACCAAGGCCUGACUUAGCAAGAGACAUAAUUCUUUUAUUAGAAACUCUUAAUUAAAAUGAGCUUCGUAAAACUAGAGCAGAUCAAUGAUCUUUGGACCAAAUUUCUGAAAAGAGCUAAACCUGGGAACAGAAAGUCACAAAGAAGCCCCACCUAAUAAUUCAGUCUCAUUGUCCCAGGACUGGGUGAUUUUUUUUCAAUCUCUGCAAAUUUGAAAAUCAAUAUUCUUUCAUAAUCCUUUGAAAAUGGGCUCACUGUCAUAGCUCUGUCUUGUCACUUAGCUUAUUAAGAAGAGCAUCUAUUUUAGAAUACUUAACUCACUUUUUU
rnacentral:lncRNA from 10 species